GGGGCAUAACUGAAGAACGGUAAAAGUGAUGCCACCUAAUUUGGAACUUGAUCUGUAUUAUGUGGUUAUCAGUAUUGUGUAUGACAUUAAGUUGAGGCAUACUAAAGAUGUUAGAGAAUAGAAACAAAAAAUUCAGCAGUUUUUCCAUUUGUAAAGGGGCAUAACUCUAGAACUGUUAAAGUGAUGCCACCAAAAUUCAAACUUGAUCUGUGUUUUGGGGUGAUAAGCAUUGUGUAUAAGUUUCAUAACUUUGAAUGAGACAAACUAAAGUACCAGAACAGAAACCAACUUUUGGAGGUACAAACGUUCAGACAGAACAAGGUAAAACUUAAUGCCCUCUCCGCUACAACAGGGGCAAACAAAAUUUGUCUGAACUUAAGAAAAUGCCUAUACCUGUGUAAAGAUAGGCAUAACAAUU
rnacentral:lncRNA from 1 species